rnacentral:rRNA from 1 species
UACGUAGGGGGCAAGCGUUGUCCGGAAUCAUUGGGCGUAAAGAGCGCGUAGGCGGUCCGGUAAGUCGGUUGUGAAAACUGGGGGCUCAACCCUCAGAGGCCGACCGAUACUGCUGGGCUAGAGUCCGGAAGAGGCGAGUGGAAUUCCGUGGAUGUAGCGGUGAAAUGCGCAGAUAUCAGGAGGAACACCAAUGGCGAAGGCAGCUCGCUGGGACGGUACUGACGCUGGAGGCGCGAAAGCGUGGGGAGCAAACAGG